AUUGAACGCUGGCGGCAUGCCUUACACAUGCAAGUCGAACGGUAACAGGUCUUCGGAUGCUGACGAGUGGCGAACGGGUGAGUAAUACAUCGGAACGUGCCUAGUAGUGGGGGAUAACUACUCGAAAGAGUGGCUAAUACCGCAUGAGAUCUACGGAUGAAAGCAGGGGAUCGCAAGACCUUGUGCUACUAGAGCGGCCGAUGGCAGAUUAGGUAGUUGGUGGGAUAAAAGCUUACCAAGCCGACGUUCUGUAGCUGGUCUGAGAGGACGAUCAGCCACACUGGGACUGAGACACGGGCCAGACUCCUACGGGAGGCAGCAGUGGGGAAUUUUGGACAAUGGGCGCAAGCCUGAUCCAGCAAUGCCGCGUGCAGGAUGAAGGCCUUCGGGUUGUAAACUGCUUUUGUACGGAACGAAAAGCCCUGGGUUAAUACCCUGGGGUCAUGACGGUACCGUAAGAAUAAGCACCGGCUAACUACGUGCCAGCCGCCGCCGUAA
rnacentral:rRNA from 1 species